rnacentral:lncRNA from 1 species
UCCCAAAAAUAAAUUUGGAACAACUAGUUUUGUUUUCCAUUUUCUCGAGAAAAUACAGAGAGCUGACUGAGGUGCUACUGUGUUUGGUUCCUGAGUAGACAUCAUCAGCAACUGCUGCCUCAGACUCCGUAAACGUGGUCGCACAACAAUUCAAGCGUGACUCUGAAAGGGUAUAGAAAGUCGAGGAUUCAAGCAAAUUCAAAAAUUUUUUCACCCAAAUGCUUCAAAUAACAAGUGGAUUCGUUUUAGCGCAAAAAAAAUUUUGGGAGUUAGGUGAACUAACAUUUAAUAGUAUUUAAACAUCACAAAUUCUCCUGCUGCAUCACGCUAUCUUCAGUCUACCAAUGUCUGCCUUUAGCAUCCAGGUGCAUGUACUCUGUGUCAGUCCUUGCCAGCUUGAGCAAUGUCUAGAUAUAUAUUAAAAAUGUGGUUUUAUUCAAAAAUGUCAUUACAAUAAUUUUAUUGAGACUUUACUCUACAGAGAUCCAUGUAGACUAGAUACAUGUCUGCAGGGGUUUCUUUAAGGGCUGGGCACCGGGCAAACUGACUGUCUGUGAAGAUGAUUUUGCUUGCCUGGUUUGACCAUCUAGAAGAAAGUUUUUCAGUAAAGUCUAACAGUGAAUUUAGUUCAAAAAGUUCUGGCUGCCUGUCCUGCUGAAAAUGUUAAUGUAACCCUUGUGUCUGGCUGGUUGUUGUUCAGUUUUGAAUAUUUUCACGUGCAAGUAACAUCAUAACAAUUAUUUAGAAGUUAUCUUCUAAGGAAAGCUACAUGCUUUAUCAGUAAAUGGAAUUUGUCAGGUCGAAGAUCGAGCAUGUGAAGAGAAAAAAUAGUACAUUUUUACAUGUUGAUAACUCAGACGUAGUCUUCAAUGAAUUUAUACACAUGUGUAUGUAAAUUUAUAUUUCAAUCAAUCUCUUUUCCUGUAGGGGAAUGGUACAAACGUACUGAGAAUAAUUCCAUACUCUGCAGUACAGUUUGCUGCUUAUGAAGAGUUCAAGAAGCUCCUAAAGAUCUCAGAAGAUCUUCAGACUCAGACUCCAGUGAGAAGGCUUGUGGCUGGAGGAUUAGCUGGAACAACAUCUGUCAUUGCUACAUAUCCACUUGAUCUUGUGAGGACAAGAUUAGCAGCCCAAGGUAAUGGGGCAGAAAGAAGAUACAGAAAUAUUUCCCAUGCUUUCCAAACAAUUUUGAAAGAUGAAGGAGGGCUUUUCAGUGGUUGUCUUUACAAAGGACUGCCGCCCACUGUAAUGGGAAUUGCCCCAUACAUUGGCUUGAAUUUUGCAGUGUAUGAAACAUUGAAAGAUUUUGUCCUCGGGCAUUUCAUUGUGAGGGCUCGGGAAGCUGAGUUAAAGAGGAUGGAUAAGGAUAAGGAGCUACCAGUUGUUGUCCGUCUUUUCUGUGGAGGAUUGGCUGGUGGUAUUUCUCAAACUGGUAAGUCAGGUUUUCCUCAAACUGGUUAUUCAAGUAUUUGUCAGACUGCUAAGUGGAGUCUGUUUUUUUUUUUUAACUGGUAUGUAAGUUAACUCACUAACUAGUAUGUCAGGUUCUCCUCAAACUGGUAAUUUGGAUUUUUUUUUUUUUGGAUUCGGUUAGUCGGGUAUUUCUCAGACUGCUAGGUCGAGUACUUCUCAAGCUAGUAAGUCAGCUGAAAAGCUGAGAAGUCGAGGGUUUUCGAACUAGAUAGUAAACUGGUAAAUCAGGUAUUUCUCGUUAGAUGAAUGUUUGAAGUCAAUAAAAAGAAUUUCUGCGUAAAUGGACUUUUCUAAAUAUCCUAAGCAUCGAAAUUUUUUGAAACUCCGAAA